rnacentral:rRNA from 1 species
GACGAACGCUGGCGGCGUGCUUAACACAUGCAAGUCGAACGGAAAGGCCCUGCUUGCAGGGUACUCGAGUGGCGAACGGGUGAGUAACACGUGGGUGAUCUGCCCUGCACUUCGGGAUAAGCCUGGGAAACUGGGUCUAAUACCGGAUAGGAGCCAUUUUUAGUGUGAUGGUUGGAAAGUUUUUUCGGUGUAGGAUGAGCUCACGGCCUAUCAGCUUGUUGGUGGGGUAAUGGCCUACCAAGGCGGCGACGGGUAGCCGGCCUGAGAGGGUGGACGGCCACAUUGGGACUGAGAUACGGCCCAGACUCCUACGGGAGGCAGCAGUGGGGAAUAUUGCACAAUGGGCGCAAGCCUGAUGCAGCGACGCCGCGUGGGGGAUGACGGCCUUCGGGUUGUAAACUCCUUUCGCUAGGGACGAAGCUUUUUGUGACGGUACCUAGAUAAGAAGCACCGGCUAACUACGUG